rnacentral:rRNA from 1 species
CCUUUACGGAGCCAGCCGCCGAAGGUGGGACAGAUGAUUGGGGUGAAGUCGUAACAAGGUAGCCGUAUCGGAAGGUGCGGCUGGAUCACCUCCUUUCUAAGGAA